rnacentral:rRNA from 1 species
ACAUGCCUACAACAUAGUGUUAAUGCAUAUGAUCCCAUUAGAACUAUGUAGUUAAGCGCACUUGGGCUAGAUUAGUAUUGGGAUGGGUGACCACCCAGAAAGUCCUAGUAUUUUACUUGCC